rnacentral:rRNA from 1 species
UACGGAAGGUCCAGGCGUUAUCCGGAUUUAUUGGGUUUAAAGGGAGCGUAGGCCGUCUGUUAAGCGUGUUGUGAAAUGUAGAUGCUCAACAUCUGAAUUGCAGCGCGAACUGGCAGACUUGAGUGUGCGCAACGUAGGCGGAAUUCGUGGUGUAGCGGUGAAAUGCUUAGAUAUCACGAAGAACUCCGAUUGCGAAGGCAGCUUACGGGAGCACAACUGACGCUGAAGCUCGAAAGUGCGGGUAUCGAACAGGAUUAGAUACCCUGGUAGUCCGCACGGUAAACGAUGGAUGCCCGCUGUUGACCCACCUGGGCCAGCGGCCAAGCGAAAGCAUUAAGCAUCCCACCUGGGGAGUACGCCGGCAACGGUGAA